rnacentral:rRNA from 1 species
UACGUAGGCAGCAAGCGUUGUCCCGGAAUCAUUGGGCGUAAAGAGCGUGUAGGCGGCCCGAUAAGUCGGUUGUGAAAAGUCAAGGGCUCAACCCUUGAAUGCCGACCGAUACUGUCAGGCUAGAGUCCGGAAGAGGCGAGUGGAAUUCCUGGUGUAGCGGUGAAAUGCGCAGAUAUCAGGAGGAACACCAAUGGCGAAGGCAGCUCGCUGGGACGGUACUGACGCUGAGACGCGAAAGCGUGGGGAGCGAACAGG